CAUUAUCAGUUUCUGGCUGUGCAUGCUGCAUGUGCAAUCUAAAACAAACCACUCUGUGUACUUUUCCUGUUGCUUUCUUGAGGCAUGGUGCCUUUGGCAUCACUCUGCGGUUGGUUUUUUAUAGCUGCCGGUUUGGAGAGUCCUCAAGAAAGGUUAUCAACUAAACCACUUGCUGUCUUGUGUUUUCAGUCUGAAUAUGACAAAAUCAAUAAAGUUAAAACUUUCAACAACGGAUCUCUUGGUUCUUGCAUCGAUGAAGAACGCAGCGAAAUGCGAUAAGUAGUGUGAAUUGCAGAAUUCAGUGAAUCAUCGAAUCUUUGAACGCACAUUGCGCCCUUCGGUAUUCCGGGGGGCAUGCCUGUUCGAGCGUCAUCAAAAAUAUUUCAAGUCAUCUCAUUUUCUUGGUCAUGGAGGCUGGUUGACAUCAUGUCACCCACCUCUCAAAUUAAUUGGCAGAUUGCAAAAGUUUUACCAAGUGUAAUAAUAAUAACCAUUCAUAAAGUGACUUUUGUAUAUCCAGCCAUCAACCCUCAUUUAUUAUUCAGGUUGACCUCGGAUCAGGUAGGGAUACCCGCUGAACUUAAGCAUAUCAAUAAGCGGAGGAAAAGAAACCAACAGGGAUUGCCUUAGUAACUGCGAGUGAAGCGGCAAAAGCUCAAAUUUGAAAUCUGACGCCUUUGGGUGUUUGAGUUGUAAUUUGGAGGGGCAUCUUCGGGGCUGGUGUCAUUUUAAGUUCUUUGGAACAGGACGUCACAGAGGGUGAGAAUCCCGUGCCUGGAUGGCUGUCUGGCCCCAUGUGAAGUGUCUCCGACGAGUCGAGUUGUUUGGGAAUGCAGCUCAAAAUGGGUGGUAAAUUUCAUCUAAAGCUAAAUAUUGGCAAGAGACCGAUAGCGCACAAGUAGAGUGAUCGAAAGAUGAAAAGCACUUUGAAAAGAGAGUUAAAAAGUACGUGAAAUUGUUGAAAGGGAAGCGCUUGAGAUCAGACUCGACUGGUGGUGAUCAACCAUGCUUUUGUAUGAUGCACUGACUACCAGUUGGGCCAGCAUCAGUUCUGGUGGUGGGAUAAAAGGUGUGGGAACGUAGCUGUAUUCGUACAGUGUUAUAGCCUGCAUCACAAUGUCACUUGCUGGGACUGAGGACCGCACUUUCGGGUUAGGAUGCUGGCGUAAUGGUCUCAAUCGACCCGUCUUGAAACACGGACCAAGGAGUCUAACAUCUAUGCGAGUGUUCGGGUGGAAAACCCUUGCGCGUAAUGAAAGUGAACGGAGGUGGGAACCCCUCGGGGUGCACCAUCGACCGAUCCCGAUGUCUUCGGAAGGAUUUGAGUAAGAGCAUAGCUGUUGGGACCCGAAAGAUGGUGAACUAUGCCUGAAUA
rnacentral:rRNA from 1 species